GAUUAACGCUGGCGGCGUGCAUAACACAUGCAAGUCGAACGAUGAAACUUAAAUGAUUUCUUCGGAAUGAACUUAAGUGGAUUAGUGGCGGACGGGUGAGUAACGCGUGAGUAACCUGCCUUACACAAGGGGAUAGCCGUUGGAAACGACGAAUAAUACCCUAUGAUGUUUCUAUCUCGCAUGAGAUAUUAACCAAAGUGUUAGCGGUGUAAGAUGGACUUGCGUCUGAUUAGCUAGUUGGUGAGAAAAAAGCCCACCAAGGCAACGAUCAGUAGCCGGCUUGAGAGAGUGUACGGCCACAUUGGGACUGAGACACGGCCCAGACUCCUACGGGAGGCAGCAGUGGGGAAUUUUGCACAAUGGGGGAAACCCUGAUGCAGCGACGCCGCGUGAUUUAGAAGGCCUUCGGGUUGUAAAAAUCUUUUGUAUAGGAAGAAAAUGACAGUACUAUACGAAUAAGGUCCGGCUAAUUACG
rnacentral:rRNA from 1 species